rnacentral:hammerhead_ribozyme from 1 species
NUCCAGCUGACGAGCCCCAAAUAGGACGAAACGUGCGUCCUGGAU